rnacentral:rRNA from 1 species
ACGUUUAUUGGCCAUAGAGACAGAUAGCCUGUAGUAGCUACGUUGUGGUAAGGGCUCACAACGCGACGAUCCUAGCUGUCGAGAGGAUGAUCAGCCACACCUGAACUGAGACUGCAGACUCUACGGAGCAGCAGUGGGAUAUGACAUGGCGAAGCUGAUCCAGCCAUGCGCGUGAGUGAUGAGCUAGGGUGUAAGCUCUUUACCCGGGAUGAUAUGACAGUACCGGGAGAUAAGCACCGGCUAACUCCGUGCCAGCAGCCGCGGUAAUACGGAGGUGCAAGCGUGUCCGGGAUUUAUUGGGUUUAAAGGGUGCGUAGGUGGCUUGUUAAGUCCGGGGUGAAAGCCCACAGCUCAACUGUGGAACUGCCCUGGAUACUGGCGAGCUUGAGUCCAGACGAGGUUGGCGGAAUGGAAGCUGUAGCGGUGAAAUGCAUAGAUAGCUUCCAGAACCCCGAUUGCGUAGGCAGCUGACUAGGCUGGUACUGACACUGAGGCACGAAAGCGUGGGGAGCGAACAGGAUUAGAUACCCUGGUAGUCCACGCCGUAAACGAUGGAUACUCGCUGGCAGCGAUACACUGUUGCUGGCUUAGCGAAAGCGGUAAGUAUCCCACCUGAGGAGUACGCUCGCAAGAGUGAAACUCGAAGGAAUUGACGGGGGCCCGCACAAGUGGUGGAGCAUGUGGUUUAAUUCGACGAUACGCGAGGAACCUUACCUAGGCUAGAAUGCGCGUGACCGGUUCAGAGAUGAGCCUUUCCUUCGGGACACAAAGCAAGGUGCUGCAUGGCCGUCGUCAGCUCGUGCCGUGAGGUGUUGGGUUAAGUCCCGCAACGAGCGCAACCCCUACAUUUAGUUGCCAGCGGAUUAUGCCGGGGACUCUAGAUGGACUGCCUGCGCAAGCAGUGAGGAAGGCGGGGACGACGUCAGGUCAUCAUGGCCCUUACGCCUAGGGCUACACACGUGCUACAAUGGUGGUGACAGUGGGCAGCGAAGGGGCGACCCUGAGCUAAUCUCCAAAAGCCAUCUCAGUUCGGAUUGCACUCUGCAACUCGAGUGCAUGAAGUUGGAAUCGCUAGUAAUCGCGGAUCAGCACGCCGCGGUGAAUACGUUCCCGGGCCUUGUACACACCGCCCGUCACACCAUGGGAGUUGGUUUUACCCGAAGGUAGUGCGCUAACCGCAAGGAGGCAGCUAACCACGGUAGUCGCACGAAU